GAUGAACGCUAGCGGGAGGCCUAACACAUGCAAGCCGAGCGGUAUUGUUUCUUCGGAAAUGAGAGAGCGGCGUACGGGUGCGGAACACGUGUGCAACCUGCCUUUAUCUGGGGGAUAGCCUUUCGAAAGGAAGAUUAAUACUCCAUAAUAUAUUGAACGGCAUCGUUUAAUAUUGAAAGCUCCGGCGGAUAGAGAUGGGCACGCGCAAGAUUAGCUAGUUGGUGAGGUAACGGCUCACCAAGGCAAUGAUCUUUAGGGGGCCUGAGAGGGUGAUCCCCCACACUGGUACUGAGACACGGACCAGACUCCUACGGGAGGCAGCAGUGAGGAAUAUUGGCCAAUGGGUGCAAGCCUGAACCAGCCAUCCCGCGUGAAGGACGACUGCCCUAUGGGUUGUAAACUUCUUUUGUAUAGGGAUAAACCCUUCCACGUGUGGAAAGCUGAAGGUACUAUACGAAUAAGCACCGGCUAACUCCGUGCCAGCAGCCGCCGUAAGAC
rnacentral:rRNA from 1 species